UGGGGAAUAUUGCACAAUGGGGGAAACCCUGAUGCAGCGACGCCGCGUGGAGGAUGACGGCCUUCGGGUUGUAAACUCCUUUUGUCAGGGACAAUGGUGAUGGUACCUGACGAAUAAGCCACGGCUAACUCUGUGCCAGCAGCCGCGGUAAGACAGAGGUGGCGAGCGUUGUUCGGAAUUACUGGGCUUAAAGGGCGCGUAGGCGGUGGUGUAAGUCUGGGGUGGAAUGCUACAGCUCAACUGUAGAGCUGCCUUGGAAACUGCAUUACUUGAGUCGGUGAGGGGAAGGCGGAAUUCCUGGUGUAGCGGUGAAAUGCGUAGAUAUCAGGAGGAAGGUCUGUGGCGAAGGCGGCCUUCUGGCACUUGACUGACGCUGAGGCGCGAAAGCGUGGGGAGCAAACAG
rnacentral:rRNA from 1 species